AGAGCACCUAUUCGACCACCUUCGUUCGAGAGACAGGAAAGCGUGAAUUGAUUUGCAACUAUAUAUGAAAUAGGCGAAAUAUCGGACUUACGUUUUAAUAGGUAAGGAUGUCCAGUUAUUUCUCAAAAAUACAACGUAACAACGGGCAAGCACCAGCUAUAAUUGAUUGGCCAGCCUUGGGACAAUCAGUGGACCUGAAGGGCAGCAGUGGGAUGGGACUUUCGGCCAACCCGAGGGCUUCAUUACACGCCUGGCAGAAUCCUCUGAUCGCCAGAAGACCAGCUUUUGACAUUCAUGAGUACUUCUGAAAUACUGUGCAGGGGUACAGCUUGCUGCUGAUGUCUGUGGUGCUGCUUUAUUCUGGUGAUGAAGUAGAUCACCAGCCCCAUCCCCACACCCAUGGCUUCUGUUCACGGCACUAAUGUUGCAUGGUGCACCACAGGUGUGAAGCAACAACUGCAGGAUGCUUUGGUUUAAGGAACUGAGACAUUUGCAGUUGCGUUUCUUCUGCCUGAAUACAAAUGUUUGCAUAACACCACAAUAUGGUGGCCUCUUACAACAGUAAACAUCUUCAUUUCCUAUUUGUCAGCACUUCAUCAACUUAAUCUCCAAGAUAAGCCACUUUCACUGAUAUCACAUUAUAGUAGUACAAGCAUCAUCAGGCAAAAUGCUUCAGAUAGUGAAGGAACUGAGUGACUCAUCAGGCUGGUCUACAUGUCUGUGGGGGACUGCAGAUCUGCACCAGUACAGACUGGGAAAUGGGUUUACACAAAAUGUAAA